CCUACGGGUGGCAGCAGUGAGGAAUAUUGGUCAAUGGGCGGGAGCCUGAACCAGCCAAGCCGCGUGAGGGAAGAAGGUACAGCGUAUCGUAAACCUCUUUUGUCAGGGAACAAAGGCGGGGACUAGUCCCCGGAUGAGGGUACCUGAAGAAAAAGAAUCGGCAAAAUCCGUGCUAGCAGCCGCGGUAAAACGGAGGUUGCGAGCGUUAUCCGGAUGUAUUGGGGUUAAGGGGUGGGCAGGCGGCCUGUUAAGUCAGCGGUAAAAGCCCGGGGCUCAACCCAGGCGGGCCGUUGAAACUGGCGGGCUGGAGUUGAGGAGAAGUACGCGGAAUGCGCGGUGUAGCGGUGAAAUGCUUAGAUAUCGCGCAGAACCCCGGUUGCGAAGGCAGCGUACCGGCUCCACACUGACGCUGAGGCACGAAAGCGUGGGUAUCGAACAGGAUUAGAUACCCUUGUAGUC
rnacentral:rRNA from 1 species